GAUGAAGAACGUAGCGAAAUGCGAUACUUGGUGUGAAUUGCAGAAUCCCGUGAACCAUCGAGUCUUUGAACGCAAGUUGCGCCUCAAGCCAUUAGGUUGAGGGCACGUCUGCCUGGGCGUCACAUAUCGUUGCCUGAUGCCAGUUUCCUCGUGAUGGGUGACUGUGCAGGGCGAAUGAUGGCUUCCCGUGAGCAUUGUUGCCUCAUGGUUGGUUGAAAAUUGGGUCCUUGGUAGGGAGCGCCGUGAUAGAUGGUGGUUGAGUGACGAACGAGACCCAAUCAUGUGAGACCCCUACCGAAUUUGGCCUUCAUGACCCACAUGCGUCUUUGGAACGCUCAUGACGAGACCUCAGGUCAGGCGGGGCUACCCGCUGAGUUUAAGCAUAUCAAUAAGCGGAGGA
rnacentral:misc_RNA from 1 species